rnacentral:lncRNA from 13 species
CUCACACACUCGUGGCCUGGCAAGGACCAGGUGGGGUGGGAGCUGGACCCUCAGUGCUUUGGAUGUGGAGGAGGUUGGCUGGGGGGUCCCGCAGUGCCUGCUCCUCUCUGGCUUCCUGAGAGUGGUGUCCCAACCUUCUCUGACAGGCCUCACUGCAUGAGUCUUACGGCUGGGGCCGAGGUUCUUCAUUUCCUGGGGACUCCCUGGGUGGGGAGGACAGGGUGAGGCUGGAGGCUUCUGGGCUGCAGGGAGAGAUGCUGAAGGGGGAGUGGGGCCCAGGAGGACAGCCAGACCACCCCAACCUCCCCGACACCUCCGUGUGAAUUGGGAAAGGGGGCCCUAAGAUUCCUUCAGCCAGGCAGGCACUUUUGUGCAGUGCACAACCUGCACAACCCAGGGUGGCGGCCUUGUUGUCAGCCCUCGGGGAGGCGGAUCGAGGCCAGGAGAGCCCCUGCUGCCUCCCCUUUUGCUGCUGGGUUCAUAGUGACCCUGCUCUGCCCAGGCCGGACCCAGGAUGUGAGUCUCCAGGCUCUGAAGGCCUUCCAGGACUUCUACCUGAUGCUGGGGCUUCCGGAUGACAUGGUGCUCAUGCUGCCCAAGUCAGACACGUGCAUCCCUGAGAGCAAGGAGAAGCCCUGAUGCCUCUGGACCCCACCCAGCCCUUCCCAGGUGGGUUCUCCAGGCCCUGCAGGGGCCACCCUGGUUGCCUCUCCCCUCCCCAUCACAGCCUGACAUCUGCGUCCAAAUAUCCCUCCCCAUGUUGGUGCUGCCGCAGCGAGCCCCACAGGGCCCUCUUCUUGUGAGCAUGCCUGUCCCUGGAUGUAGGGCCCACUGUAAAUGCAAGGUGACCUUGUCUCCAGAGUCUAAACUCAUAGUUUCUGCAAAGACUGUUUCCAAACAAGGCCGCGUUUGGAGAUUCCAGGUGGGCCUGAAGUUUUGGAGACACAAUUCCAUCCACAGCUCUGGGUCCCCGCUGUGUCCACACAGCCUCUGGCUCCCUCCCCAGGGCACCGUCCUGCCUUGGAAUUGCGUGGGCCUCUUCUCCUCCCCCAGGGCCCAGGAGAGCAGACCACAGCCUUUGUGCCCAGUGCCAUCACAGAAGCCACAUUCGGGUGGGGUCUUGGGGAGACCUCCCCCUAAACCAGAUGCCAGAAGACCAUUGGGUCCCUCACCCAGGCUCACAGCCAAGACUUUGGGCAUAACCACACGUCACGAGUCUGAAGUGACAGUUACCAGACUCUGGAGCGCCACUGGCCCUUCCUGGCGUGGUGGGAGGAGGUGUUGGGGGACUCUCGGUGGGGCCGUGGGGCUGGGGGGCUCUGGGGCGGGGCCAUGGUACUGGAGGGCUCCGGGGCGGGGCCGUGGUGGGGGGGAGCUCCGGACCUUGCCGCCUCUCCUGCUUUUCCGCCAUGCAUUUCCUGCCUCUCAGCUCCUCACCAUGAGCUUCGCCUCCACUCCCAGGGUCCUCAUCCAGGCGACUCACCAUCCUGUUCAGCUUUGCACAGGUCUGUAUCUCCCUGCACACACCAGUGGGUUGGGAAACAUGGGGCUCAACAGCAAAUCACCCUCCUCCAGAAGGUUCUCUGGGGAGAACGUGUAGCCGCAUCCUCCCACGAUCUUGAAGCAGCAGCUUUCUGGGUACAGUGCCCAGCCUGGGCCACCUUGGGUGACCCCGGAGGCUGUGGUGGCUUCAUGGCCAUUCCAGGGCUUUCUUGCCAAGCCAGCCCCUUCGUCAAGGCCCUGGCAGAGGCUGUGGCUCACUGCCACUCAGGCAUGAGGCUGGGUCCCCCACCCCCAGGGAAGGUGGGAAAGCGUUGGAGCCAAGGACAGCCUCUCCCCUGGGGCCUCUGGGGAAGCAAUGGUGGCUGGUGUGUGUGUACAGGGUUUAUGGGAGUUUUGGAGCAGAAUGAGCUCUCCUGAGCCUGUAGGGCGGUGGCUUUGGAGGGCUGAUGCGCAGCUUGUGGGGAGCAGAAAGGGCGUUUGUCGUGGGAGUGUGCGAUGGAGUAGCUGUGCAUUUGCUGUGCAGGAGGAGCCAGAGCCGCGGGCGCCAUCGCCCCUGGAGUGAGACCCACAGCCCUCGGGGACCGCUGUCCUCCGCCCCCCAUGGGAUGCCUCUUUCUAUUCAAUAAACAGAUGCUGCAGCCUCA